AUUUACUUAAUAUAAUUAGUAUAAUUAGCUUCCAACUAAAAAGUUCAUAAUUUGAAGUAAAUA
rnacentral:tRNA from 1 species